UACCAGACUCCUACGGGAGGCAGCAGUGGGGAAUAUUGCACAAUGGGGGAAACCCUGAUGCAGCGACGCCGCGUGAGCGAUGAAGUAUUUCGGUAUGUAAAGCUCUAUCAGCAGGGAAGAAGAUGACGGUACCUGACUAAGAGGCCCCGGCUAACUACGUGCCAGCAGCCGCGGUAAUACGUAGGGGGCAAGCGUUAUCCGGAUUUACUGGGUGUAAAGGGAGCGUAGACGGCGAUGCAAGCCAGAUGUGAAAGCCCGGGGCUCAACCCCGGGACUGCAUUUGGAACUGUGUGGCUGGAGUGUCGGAGAGGCAGGCGGAAUUCCUAGUGUAGCGGUGAAAUGCGUAGAUAUUAGGAGGAACACCAGUGGCGAAGGCGGCCUGCUGGACGAUGACUGACGCUGAGGCUCGAAAGCGUGGGGAGCAAACAGGAUUAGAUACCCUAGUAGAA
rnacentral:rRNA from 1 species